CACGAACCGUACGAACGUUAUUCGGAAUUACUGGGCUUAAAGGGUUUGUAGGCGGCCAUGUAAGUCAGGUGUGAAAUCCCUCGGCUCAACCGAGGAACGGCGCUUGAUACUGCAUGGCUUGAGGGAGACAGGGGUAAGCGGAACUGAUGGUGGGGCGGUGAAAUGCGUUGAUAUCAUCAGGAACACCGGAGACGAAGGCGGCUCACUGGGGGUUUACUGACGCUCAUGCACGAAAGCGUGGGGAGCAAACAGG
rnacentral:rRNA from 1 species